UACGAAGGGGGCUAGCGUUGCUCGGAAUCACUGGGCGUAAAGGGCGCGUAGGCGGCGUUUUUAAGUCGGGGGUGAAAGCCUGUGGCUCAACCACAGAAUGGCCUUCGAUACUGGGACGCUUGAGUAUGGUAGAGGUUGGUGGAACUGCGAGUGUAGAGGUGAAAUUCGUAGAUAUUGGGAAGAACACCGGUGGCGAAGGCGGCUCACUGGCUCGUAUCUGACGCUCAGGCGCGACAGCGUGGGGAUCAAACAGG
rnacentral:rRNA from 1 species